rnacentral:rRNA from 1 species
AACGUAGGUGGCAAGCGUUAUCCGGAAUUACUGGGCGUAAAGGGUGCGUAGGCGGGUUUUUAAGUCAGGGGUGAAAUCCUGGAGCUCAACUCCAGAACUGCCUUUGAUACUGAAGAUCUUGAGUUCGGGAGAGGUGAGUGGAACUGCGAGUGUAGAGGUGAAAUUCGUAGAUAUUCGCAAGAACACCAGUGGCGAAGGCGGCUCACUGGCCCGAUACUGACGCUGAGGCACGAAAGCGUGGGGAGCAAACAGG